rnacentral:pre_miRNA from 1 species
CAUGCACCAGUGGGGUCCCUUGGCCUGGCCUGUGCCCUCUUGCAAUCCAGGACCCCUUGAGGGAUGUCAGAGAGCCGGUUUUGGCCUGAUCCCACAGGCCAGGCCGAGGGACCCCACUGGUGCACA